UGGGGAAUAUUGCACAAUGGAGGGAACUCUGAUGCAGCAACGCCGCGUGCGGGAUGACGGCCUUCGGGUUGUAAACCGCUUUCAGCCAUGACGAAGCUUUUGUGACGGUAGUGGUAGAAGAAGCACCGGCUAACUACGUGCCAGCAGCCGCGGUGAUACGUAGGGUGCGAGCGUUGUCCGGAAUUAUUGGGCGUAAAGAGCUUGUAGGCGGUUUGUCGCGUCGAUAGUGUAAACACGCAGCUUAACUGUGUGCCUGCUGUCGAUACGGGCUGACUAGAGGAGGGUAGGGGAGAAUGGAAUUCCCGGUGGAGCGGUGGAAUGCGCAGAUAUCGGGAGGAACACCAGUGGCGAAGGCGGUUCUCUGGACCUUUCCUGACGCUGAGAAGCGAAAGCGUGGGUAGCAAACAGG
rnacentral:rRNA from 1 species